rnacentral:rRNA from 1 species
GAUGAACGCUGGCGGCGUGCCUAAUACAUGCAAGUCGAGCGAACAGACGAGGAGCUUGCUCCUCUGAUGUUAGCGGCGGACGGGUGAGUAACACGUGGAUAACCUACCUAUAAGACUGGGAUAACUUCGGGAAACCGGAGCUAAUACCGGAUAACAUGUUGAACCGCAUGGUUCAACAGUGAAAGACGGUCUUGCUGUCACUUAUAGAUGGAUCCGCGCCGCAUUAGCUAGUUGGUAAGGUAACGGCUUACCAAGGCAACGAUGCGUAGCCGACCUGAGAGGGUGAUCGGCCACACUGGAACGGAGACACGGUCCAGACUCCUACGGGAGGCAGCAGUAGGGAAUCUUCCGCAAUGGGCGAAAGCCUGACGGAGCAACGCCGCGGGAGUGAAGAAGGUCUUCGGAUCGUAAAACUCUGUUAUUAGGGAAGAACAAAUGUGUAAGUAACUAUGCACGUCUUGACGGUACCUAAUCAGAAAGCCACGGCUAACUACGUG